UGGGGAAUCUUGCGCAAUGGGCGAAAGCCUGACGCAGCCAUGCCGCGUGAAUGAUGAAGGUCUUAGGAUUGUAAAAUUCUUUCACCGGGGACGAUAAUGACGGUACCCGGAGAAGAAGCCCCGGCUAACUUCGUGCCAGCAGCCGCGGUAAUACGAAGGGGGCUAGCGUUGCUCGGAAUUACUGGGCGUAAAGGGAGCGUAGGCGGAUAGUUUAGUCAGAGGUGAAAGCCCAGGGCUCAACCUUGGAAUUGCCUUUGAUACUGGCUAUCUUGAGUAUGGGAGAGGUGAGUGGAACUCCGAGUGUAGAGGUGAAAUUCGUAGAUAUUCGGAAGAACACCAGUGGCGAAGGCGACUCACUGGCCCAUUACUGACGCUGAGGCUCGAAAGCGUGGGGAGCAAACAGGAUUAGAUACCCCCGUAGUCC
rnacentral:rRNA from 1 species